GACGGGGGGCAAGUGUUCUUCGGAAUCACUGGGCGUAAAGGGCACGUAGGCGGUGAAUCGGGUUGAAAGUGAAAGUCGCCAAAAAGUGGCGGAAUGCUCUCGAAACCAAUUCACUUGAGUGAGACAGAGGAGAGUGGAAUUUCGUGUGUAGGGGUGAAAUCCGUAGAUCUACGAAGGAACGCCAAAAGCGAAGGCAGCUCUCUGGGUCCCUACCAACGCUAGGGUGCGAAAGCAUGGGGAGCGAACAGG
rnacentral:rRNA from 1 species